AUUUGAGUGCGUGAGUGAGUGUUAACGCAAAUAAUAUUCACAAUUUAUAAAUUGGCUUCAGUUUCUUCAAUCUUAUGGUAUUCAUGAAGGAAAAGAGAAUCCCUCACAGGCCUGAGAUCUGAAAAGCACUUCUCAGAUAGAUAGAUAGAUAUUGGUAUACCAUGGACGUUACUUCUUUCUCUCUCAUCCUCAUCAUCUUCCUCUCUCUCUCCUCACCAUGCUUCGCCGAGAUCCGUUUCACCGAGAUCCGAUCCGACGAUCGGCCCAUCAUCCCCUUCGACGAGUUCGGAUUCACCAACCAAGGUCGCCUGGAGCUCAAUGUCUCUCAGAUCUCCCUCUCAAACCCUAGCCCAGACCUCGACCGUUCCAAGCUCGGCUUCUUCCUCUGCACCAGAGCUUCAUGGCCUCAGGUCCUUCAACAGAUCGAAGACGCUGAGAUCAACUGUGCUCUCCAUUCCACUCUCAUCAAGAAAGUCUACAUUUUCGAUUCCCUCAACACUGCCAACAGUUUCGAUACCCUGUAUCUCCACAAAGAUGCCGAUCAGUACACCCUCGUCUUCGCUAAUUGCCUUCCACAGAUGAAGGUCUCGAUGAACGUUCGAUCCGCAAUGUACAAUCUCGAUGCAAAGACCGAUCGCCGCGACUAUUUAUCGGCCGGUAGGACUGUUCUCCCCAUGGUAUAUUUCCUGUUCUCGCUUACAUAUUUCACUUUGGCUGCUGUUUGGAUAUGCGUUCUGUAUAAGAAGCGUUUGACUGUGUUCGGAAUUCAUUUCUUCAUGCUCGCUGUUUUGGUCAUGAAAGCAUUGAACCUCUUGUGUGAGGCUGAAGACAAAUCGUACAUUAAGCGAACCGGUAGUGCACACGGUUGGGAUGUUUUGUUCUACAUAUUCAGUUUUUUGAAAGGAAUUACUUUGUUUACUCUGAUUGUGUUGAUCGGGACUGGUUGGUCGUUCUUGAAACCCUAUUUACAGGAUAAGGAAAAGAGGGUUUUGAUGAUUGUGAUUCCACUUCAGGUUGUUGCGAAUAUAGCUCAGGUUGUGAUCGAUGAGACCGGGCCCUUUGGACAGGAUUGGGUUACUUGGAGACAGGUGUUUCUGUUAGUUGAUGUUGUUUGUUGCUGCGCUGUUUUGUUCCCAAUUGUGUGGUCAAUUAAGAAUUUGCGCGAGGCGGCGCGCACUGAUGGCAAAGCAGCUGUAAAUUUGAUGAAAUUGACUCUGUUUCGCCAAUAUUAUAUUGUGGUUAUUUGCUACAUUUAUUUCACAAGGGUUGUGGUAUAUGCAUUGGAGACAAUUACCUCUUAUAGGUAUCUUUGGACCAGUGUGGUGGCUGGGGAAUUGGCAACACUUGCCUUCUAUGUGUUUACUGGUUAUAAGUUCAAGCCCGAGGCACAUAAUCCGUAUUUUGUGGUCGAUGAUGAAGAGGAGGAAGCUGCUGCUGAAGCAUUGAAACUUGAAGACGAGUUUGAACUGUGAUUUAUUCCAAAGAAUUCUCAAGGUUGCAAUCAAAUUUGGGGUUGGGGUAGAAGCCAAAAUUUUAGUACAAGACAUGCUCAACACAUCUUGGAUAUUAAGGGGCAACAUUCUGGUAUAUUAAGUGCGUAAGUAUUGGAAAAGUAUUUUAGGUUAUUUCUUUAAGAAGAAGAAUUUAGAUUUGACAAAGGUGAAUUGCAUUGAUUUUGUCCUCUAUCUGAGUUCAUUUGUGGAAAUACAUGAAUAGUGUAUUUAAUGUUUUCUUUAAGAAAUAUAGUUGAACAUAUAAUUACAAAGCCAUGUACAACUACUACAUUUCUAAACCUUGUGGAAGUUGAUUAUUGUCCUACCGCGUAUAAAAUGAAUUGUUUUGUGUUUGCAAAAAUA